rnacentral:rRNA from 1 species
GAUGAACGCUGGCGGCGUGCCUAAUACAUGCAAGUCGAGCGAACAGACGAGGAGCUUGCUCCUCUGACGUUAGCGGCGGACGGGUGAGUAACACGUGGAUAGCCUACCUAUAAGACUGGGAUAACUUCGGGAAACCGGAGCUAAUACCGGAUAAUAUAUUGAACCGCAUGGUUCAAUAGUGAAAGACGGUUUUGCUGUCACUUAUAGAUGGAUCCGCGCCGCAUUAGCUAGUUGGUAAGGUAACGGCUUACCAAGGCAACGAUGCGUAGCCGACCUGAGAGGGUGAUCGGCCACACUGGAACUGAGACACGGUCCAGACUCCUACGGGAGGCAGCAGUAGGGAAUCUUCCGCAAUGGGCGAAAGCCUGACGGAGCAACGCCGCGUGAGUGAUGAAGGUCUUCGGAUCGUAAAACUCUGUUAUUAGGGAAGAACAAAUGUGUAAGUAACUAUGCACGUCUUGACGGUACCUAAUCAGAGAGCCACGGCUAACUACGUG